rnacentral:rRNA from 1 species
AGAGUUUGAUCCUGGCUCAGGACGAACGCUGGCGGCGUGCCUAAUACAUGCAAGUCGAGCGAGCGGAACUAACAGAUUUACUUCGGUAAUGACGUUAGGAAAGCGAGCGGCGGAUGGGUGAGUAACACGUGGGGAACCUGCCCCAUAGUCUAGGAUACCACUUGGAAACAGGUGCUAAUACCGGAUAAGAAAGCAGAUCGCAUGAUCAGCUUUUAAAAGGCGGCGUAAGCUGUCGCUAUGGGAUGGCCCCGCGGUGCAUUAGCUAGUUGGUAAGGUAAAGGCUUACCAAGGCGAUGAUGCAUAGCCGAGUUGAGAGACUGAUCGGCCACAUUGGUACUGAGACACGGCCCAAACUCCUACGGGAGGCAGCAGUAGGGAAUCUUCCACAAUGGACGCAAGUCUGAUGGAGCAACGCCGCGUGAGUGAAGAAGGUUUUCGGAUCGUAAAGCUCUGUUGUUGGUGAAGAAGGAUAGAGGUAGUAACUGGCCUUUAUUUGACGGUAAUCAACCAGAAAGUCACGGCUAACUACGUGCCAGCAGCCGCGGUAAUACGUAGGUGGCAAGCGUUGUCCGGGAUUUUAUUGGGGCGUAAAGCGAGCGC